rnacentral:rRNA from 1 species
GUACACGGUGGAUGCCCUGGCAGUCAGAGGCGAUGAAGGACGUGCUAAUCUGCGAUAAGCGUCGGUAAGGUGAUAUGAACCGUUAUAACCGGCGAUUUCCGAAUGGGGAAACCCAGUGUGAUUCGUCACACUAUCAUUAACUGAAUCCAUAGGUUAAUGAGGCGAACCGGGGGAACUGAAACAUCUAAGUACCCCGAGGAAAAGAAAUCAACCGAGAUUCCCCCAGUAGCGGCGAGCGAACGGGGAGCAGCCCAGAGCCUGAAUCAGUGUGUGUGUUAGUGGAAGCGUCUGGAAAGGCGCGCGAUACAGGGUGACAGCCCCGUACACAAAAAUGCACAUGCUGUGAGCUCGAUGAGUAGGGCGGGACACGUGGUAUCCUGUCUGAAUAUGGGGGGACCAUCCUCCAAGGCUAAAUACUCCUGACUGACCGAUAGUGAACCAGUACCGUGAGGGAAAGGCGAAAAGAACCCCGGCGAGGGGAGUGAAAAAGAACCUGAAACCGUGUACGUACAAGCAGUGGGAGCACAGAGCAAUC